rnacentral:ncRNA from 1 species
AGCCUGCGACUUAAUUUGACUCAGCACGACAAAACUUAGGUCCAGAUAUAGAAAUAAUUGACAGACUAAUAGCUCUUUCCUCAUUCUAUGGGUGGUGGUGCAUGGUCGUUCUUAUCGGUUUCCAAAAUUAAGGACGCAUCGUAAACAAUUAUUUUUUUCUUAAAGUACUUUAGUUUGUAUUUGAAUUUUGUAACAUUUUGAAUUUAUUAGAUACAAUUAUUUUGGUAUUUAAUAGUAUUGUAAAAUUAUGCUCCCCCACUCACAAUCCUAGAUCCGGCACUACUUGCGUU